rnacentral:rRNA from 1 species
UUGAACGCUGGCGGCAUGCCUUACACAUGCAAGUCGAACGGCAGCACGGGGGCAACCCUGGUGGCGAGUGGCGAACGGGUGAGUAACAUAUCGGAACGUGCCCUGGAGUGGGGGAUAACUAGUCGAAAGACUAGCUAAUACCGCAUACGAUCUACGGAUGAAAGUGGGGGAUCGCAAGACCUCAUGCUCGUGGAGCGGCCGAUAUCUGAUUAGCUAGUUGGUGGGGUAAAAGCCUACCAAGGCAUCGAUCAGUAGCUGGUCUGAGAGGACGACCAGCCACACUGGGACUGAGACACGGCCCAGACUCCUACGGGAGGCAGCAGUGGGGAAUUUUGGACAAUGGGGGCAAUCCUGAUCCAGCAAUGCCGCGUGAGUGAAGAAGGCCUUCGGGUUGUAAAGCUCUUUUGUCAGGGAAGAAACGGUCUGGGCUAAUAUCCUGGGCUAAUGACGGUACCUGAAGAAUAAGCACCGGCUAACUACGU